GACGAACGCUGGCGGCGUGCUUAACACAUGCAAGUCGAACGGAAAGGCCCUGCUUUUGUGGGGUGCUCGAGUGGCGAACGGGUGAGUAACACGUGAGUAACCUGCCCUCGACUUUGGGAUAACUUCAGGAAACUGGGGCUAAUACCGGAUAGGAGCUCCUGCUGCAUGGUGGGGGUUGGAAAGUUUCGGCGGUUGGGGAUGGACUCGCGGCGUGUCAGCUUGUUGGUGGGGUUGUGGCUUACCAAGGCUUUGACGGGUAGCCGGCCUGAGAGGGUGAGCGGCCACAUCGGGACUGCGAUGCGGCGCAGCCGCGUACGGGAGGGAGCAGUGGGGAAUAUUGCGCAGUAGGCGGAAGGCUGAUGCAGCGGCGCCGCGUGCGUGAUGACGGCCUUCGGGUUGUAAACCGCUUUCGCCUGUGACGAAGCGUGAGUGACGGUAGUGGGUAAAGAAGCGCCGGCUAACUACGUG
rnacentral:rRNA from 1 species